rnacentral:rRNA from 1 species
UACGGAGGGUGCAAGCGUUGUCCGGAUUUAUUGGGUUUAAAGGGUGCGCAGGCGGUUUUGUAAGCCAGAUGUGAAAUCCCCGGGCUCAACCUGGGAAUGGCAUUUGGGACUGCAAGGCUAGAGUGUGGCAGAGGAGACUGGAAUUCACGGUGUAGCAGUGAAAUGCGUAGAUAUCGUGAGGAAGACCAGUGGCGAAGGCGGGUCUCUGGACAGUUCCUGACGCUGAGGCGCGAAGGCCAGGGGAGCAAACGGG